GAUGAACGCUGGCGGCGUGCCUAAUACAUGCAAGUCGAGCGAACGGACGAGAAGCUUGCUUCUCUGAUGUUAGCGGCGGACGGGUGAGUAACACGUGGAUAACCUACCUAUAAGACUGGGAUAACUUCGGGAAACCGGAGCUAAUACCGGAUAAUAUUUUGAACCGCAUGGUUCAAAAGUGAAAGACGGUCUUGCUGUCACUUAUAGAUGGAUCCGCGCUGCAUUAGCUAGUUGGUAAGGUAACGGCUUACCAAGGCAACGAUGCAUAGCCGACCUGAGAGGGUGAUCGGCCACACUGGAACUGAGACACGGUCCAGACUCCUACGGGAGGCAGCAGUAGGGAAUCUUCCGCAAUGGGCGAAAGCCUGACGGAGCAACGCCGCGUGAGUGAUGAAGGUCUUCGGAUCGUAAAACUCUGUUAUUAGGGAAGAACAUAUGUGUAAGUAACUGUGCACAUCUUGACGGUACCUAAUCAGAAAGCCACGGCUAACUACGUGCCAGCAGCCGCGGUAAUACGUAGGUGGCAAGCGUUAUCCGGAAUUAUUGGGCGUAAAGCGCGCGUAGGCGGUUUUUUAAGUCUGAUGUGAAAGCCCACGGCUCAACCGUGGAGGGUCAUUGGAAACUGGAAAACUUGAGUGCAGAAGAGGAAAGUGGAAUUCCAUGUGUAGCGGUGAAAUGCGCAGAGAUAUGGAGGAACACCAGUGGCGAAGGCGACUUUCUGGUCUGUAACUGACGCUGAUGUGCGAAAGCGUGGGGAUCAAACAGGAUUAGAUACCCUGGUAGUCCACGCCGUAAACGAUGAGUGCUAAGUGUUAGGGGGUUUCCGCCCCUUAGUGCUGCAGCUAACGCAUUAAGCACUCCGCCUGGGGAGUACGACCGCAAGGUUGAAACUCAAAGGAAUUGACGGGGACCCGCACAAGCGGUGGAGCAUGUGGUUUAAUUCGAAGCAACGCGAAGAACCUUACCAAAUCUUGACAUCCUUUGACAACUCUAGAGAUAGAGCCUUCCCCUUCGGGGGACAAAGUGACAGGUGGUGCAUGGUUGUCGUCAGCUCGUGUCGUGAGAUGUUGGGUUAAGUCCCGCAACGAGCGCAACCCUUAAGCUUAGUUGCCAUCAUUAAGUUGGGCACUCUAAGUUGACUGCUGGUGACAAACCGGAGGAAGGUGGGGAUGACGUCAAAUCAUCAUGCCCCUUAUGAUUUGGGCUACACACGUGCUACAAUGGACAAUACAAAGGGCAGCGAAACCGCGAGGUCAAGCAAAUCCCAUAAAGUUGUUCUCAGUUCGGAUUGUAGUCUGCAACUCGACUACAUGAAGCUGGAAUCGCUAGUAAUCGUAGAUCAGCAUGCUACGGUGAAUACGUUCCCGGGUCU
rnacentral:rRNA from 1 species